UGGGGAAUUUUGCACAAUGGGGGAAACCCUGAUGCAGCGACGCCGCGUGAUUUAGAAGGCCUUCGGGUUGUAAAAAUCUUUUUUACGGGAUGAAAAUGACAGUACCGUAAGAAUAAGGUCCGGCUAAAUACGUGCCAGCAGCCGCGGUAAUACGUAUGGACCGAGCGUUGUCCGGAAUCAUUGGGCGUAGAGGGUACGUAGGCGGCCUAGUAAGUUAGAAGUGAAAUAAUAUAGCUCAACUAUAUAAAGCUUUUAAAACUGCUAGGCUUGAGAGAUGGAAGGGAAAGUGGAAUUCCUAGUGUAGCGGUGAAAUGCGCAGAUAUUAGGAAGAAUACCGGUGGCGAAGGCGACUUUCUGGUCAUCAUCUGACGCUGAGGUACGAAAGCGUGGGUAGCAAACAGG
rnacentral:rRNA from 1 species